GACGAACGCUGGCGGCGUGCUUCAUACAUGCAAGUCGAACGAGAAGCUGACUUCGGUCAGUGGAAAGUGGCGGACGGGUGAGUAAUAUGUAGGAAAUCUGCCUUUAGGAGGGGGACAACAGAGGGAAACUUCUGCUAAUACCCCAUAUGAGCGUAGCUGAAAUGCUAUUCUUGAAAACUCCGGUGCCUAAAGAUGAGCCUGCAUCUGAUUAGCUAGUUGGUAGUGUAAUGGACUACCAAGGCGACGAUCAGUAGCUGGUUUGAGAGGAUGAUCAGCCACAAUGGGACUGAGACACGGCCCAUACUCCUACGGGAGGCAGCAGUAGCGAAUUUUGCGCAAUGGGCGAAAGCCUGACGCAGCAACGCCGCGUGAACGAUUAAGCCCUUCGGGGUGUAAAGUUCUGUCAGUGGGGACGAAACUUGACGGUACCCACAGAGGAAGCACCGGCUAACUCCGUG
rnacentral:rRNA from 1 species